rnacentral:rRNA from 1 species
AUGUGCGAUCAUACCAGCAUUAAUGCACUGGAUCCCAUCAGAAAUCUGUAGUUAAGCGCGCUUGGGCUAGAGUAGUACUAGGAUGGGUGACCUCUCUGGAAGUCCUAGUUUUGCACCCU